rnacentral:rRNA from 1 species
GCGGGACACGUGGUAUCCUGUCUGAAUAUGGGGGGACCAUCCUCCAAGGCUAAAUACUCCUGACUGACCGAUAGUGAACCAGUACCGUGAGGGAAAGGCGAAAAGAACCCCGGCGAGGGGAGUGAAAAAGAACCUGAAACCGUGUACGUACAAGCAGUGGGAGCCUCUUAAUGGGGUGACUGCGUACCUUUUGUAUAAUGGGUCAGCGACUUAUAUUCUGUAGCAAGGUUAACCGAAUAGGGGAGCCGAAGGGAAACCGAGUCUUAACUGGGCGUUAAGUUGCAGGGUAUAGACCCGAAACCCGGUGAUCUAGCCAUGGGCAGGUUGAAGGUUGGGUAACACUAACUGGAGGACCGAACCGACUAAUGUUGAAAAAUUAGCGGAUGACUUGUGGCUGGGGGUGAAAGGCCAAUCAAACCGGGAGAUAGCUGGUUCUCCCCGAAAGCUAUUUAGGUAGCGCCUCGUGAAUUCAUCUCCGGGGGUAGAGCACUGUUUCGGCAAGGGGGUCAUCCCGACUUACCAACCCGAUGCAAACUGCGAAUACCGGAGAAUGUUAUCACGGGAGACACACGGCGGGUGCUAACGUCCGUCGUGAAGAGGGAAACAACCCAGACCGCCAGCUAAGGUCCCAAAGUCAUGGUUAAGUGGGAAACGAUGUGGGAAGGCCCAGACAGCCAGGAUGUUGGCUUAGAAGCAGCCAUCAUUUAAAGAAAGCGUAAUAGCUCACUGGUCGAGUCGGCCUGCGCGGAAGAUGUAACGGGGCUAAACCAUGCACCGAAGCUGCGGCAGCGACACUAUGUGUUGUUGGGUAGGGGAGCGUUCUGUAAGCCUGUGAAGGUGGCCUGUGAGGGUUGCUGGAGGUAUCAGAAGUGCGAAUGCUGACAUAAGUAACGAUAAAGCGGGUGAAAAGCCCGCUCGCCGGAAGACCAAGGGUUCCUGUCCAACGUUAAUCGGGGCAGGGUGAGUCGACCCCUAAGGCGAGGCCGAAAGGCGUAGUCGAUGGGAAACAGGUUAAUAUUCCUGUACUUGGUGUUACUGCGAAGGGGGGACGGAGAAGGCUAUGUUGGCCGGGCGACGGUUGUCCCGGUUUAAGCGUGUAGGCUGGUUUUCCAGGCAAAUCCGGAAAACCAAGGCUGAGGCGUGAUGACGAGGCACUACGGUGCUGAAGUGACAAAUGCCCUGCUUCCAGGAAAAGCCUCUAAGCAUCAGGUAACAUCAAAUCGUACCCCAAACCGACACAGGUGGUCAGGUAGAGAAUACCAAGGCGCUUGAGAGAACUCGGGUGAAGGAACUAGGCAAAAUGGUGCCGUAACUUCGGGAGAAGGCACGCUGAUAUGUAGGUGAAGCGACUUGCUCGUGGAGCUGAAAUCAGUCGAAGAUACCAGCUGGCUGCAACUGUUUAUUAAAAACACAGCACUGUGCAAACACGAAAGUGGACGUAUACGGUGUGACGCCUGCCCGGUGCCGGAAGGUUAAUUGAUGGGGUUAGCGGUAACGCGAAGCUCUUGAUCGAAGCCCCGGUAAACGGCGGCCGUAACUAUAACGGUCCUAAGGUAGCGAAAUUCCUUGUCGGGUAAGUUCCGACCUGCACGAAUGGCGUAAUGAUGGCCAGGCUGUCUCCACCCGAGACUCAGUGAAAUUGAACUCGCUGUGAAGAUGCAGUGUACCCGCGGCAAGACGGAAAGACCCCGUGAACCUUUACUAUAGCUUGACACUGAACAUUGAGCCUUGAUGUGUAGGAUAGGUGGGAGGCUUUGAAGUGUGGACGCCAGUCUGCAUGGAGCCGACCUUGAAAUACCACCCUUUAAUGUUUGAUGUUCUAACGUUGGCCCGUAAUCCGGGUUGCGGACAGUGUCUGGUGGGUAGUUUGACUGGGGCGGUCUCCUCCUAAAGAGUAACGGAGGAGCACGAAGGUUGGCUAAUCCUGGUCGGACAUCAGGAGGUUAGUGCAAUGGCAUAAGCCAGCUUGACUGCGAGCGUGACGGCGCGAGCAGGUGCGAAAGCAGGUCAUAGUGAUCCGGUGGUUCUGAAUGGAAGGGCCAUCGCUCAACGGAUAAAAGGUACUCCGGGGAUAACAGGCUGAUACCGCCCAAGAGUUCAUAUCGACGGCGGUGUUUGGCACCUCGAUGUCGGCUCAUCACAUCCUGGGGCUGAAGUAGGUCCCAAGGGUAUGGCUGUUCGCCAUUUAAAGUGGUACGCGAGCUGGGUUUAGAACGUCGUGAGACAGUUCGGUCCCUAUCUGCCGUGGGCGCUGGAGAACUGAGGGGGGCUGCUCC